rnacentral:Y_RNA from 1 species
GGUUGGUCUGAGUGCAGUGAUGUUUACAACUAAUUGAUCACAACCAGUUACAGAUUUCUUUGUUCCUUCUCCACUCCCACUGCUUCACUUGACCAACCCCCC